rnacentral:rRNA from 1 species
GGGCGAAAACUUUACAAUGCUGGCAACAGCGAUAAGGGAACCUCGAGUGCCAGGUUACAAAUCUGGCUGUCGAGAUGCCUAAAAAAGCAUUUCAUAGCAAGGGCCGGGCAAGACCGGUGCCAGCCGCCGCGGUAACACCGGCGGCUCGAGUGGUAACCGUUAUUAUUGGGUCUAAAGGGUCUGUAGCCGGCCGGAUAAGUCUCUUGAGAAAUCUGGCAGCUUAACUGUCAGGCUUUCAGGAGAUACUGUCUGGCUCGAGGCCGGGAGAGGUGAGAGGUACUUCGAGGGGUAGGGUGAAAUCUUGUAAUCCUUGAAGGACCACCAGUGGCGAAGGCGUCUCACCAGAACGGACCUGACGGCAAGGGACGAAAGCUAGGGGCACGAACCGGAUUAGAGACC